rnacentral:misc_RNA from 1 species
GUCACGAAGCGAAGCAAGGAUGGAAUAAGCAAACAAAUUUUGCUCCCUUGCAUCACAUGUUGCGCAUCAACAAAAUAUCAAGUUCACUUGCAUUGUGCACAACAAACAUCUUAAAGCCAUCGGGAAGAUAGUGGCGAGUCAUCUUGUCAGAACCAUAGCCAAUAUUGGGCAUUAAGACACAUCCCUUGAACUUCCUUCCAACUCUGGAGUCAAUACCCUUUGGUCUGCGCCAGUUUGUCAGUUGUCCGAUAAAUGAAAAUUAUUUCCACUUAGUAAACCUCGCACACAUGACUUGGGCCAAGGCAAGUGAAACAAAUCACAUUCUUCACAAGGGUUGAGAGAAACAUCAAACAAAAAUGUCUAUAUAAUCGAGUGAAGUGUUGAACACUACUAAAUAUACAUAGAAAAGGUUGAAAGAUA